GCCGCCGCAGCCGCUGGGCGAACUCAAGCGCUUCUUCGAGGCCGCGGCGGGGAGCGGCUCCUCGGCGGGGGCGGGGGACGGCGCGGGCCCGCAGAGGCUGCCAGAGCCUGGGGGACGGCCGCGCUCGGCCGUGCAGGGCGGGUGCCGGGUGCUGGGCAGCGCCCCGCCGCCUUUCACUCCGUCACUGCUGGAGCAGGAGGUGCGCGCCGUGCGCGAGCGCGAGCAGGAACUGCAGCGCCAGCGGCGCAGCGUCUAUGGCACCGCGGAGUUCAAGGAGCCUACGCCGAGCCUCACCGCGAGCAGGGGCGACGGAAAGUUGGUGGUGAUCUGGCCCCCCCGCAGAAAGGUCUCGGAGAACGGCCUGGAGCAGGUGGGAGCCCCCUUACCCGUGUGCCUCUAGCGCUUGUCGGUCCCCCCACCCCUCCGGUGCCAGGACGCUUGGUGGGGAAAAGUGCAUCCUCCCUGGAGGGCCACUCUGGUCAGAACUCAGUCUGGGACGCAUCCCCGGGGUGAAGAGGAGACGGUGGUCUUGAGGCCCAAACCGCCACCCCGAGCCUGGAUGCAGUGCGCAGGUCCCUGAGGCCGGCCUUCCUUCUGGUCCUCUGUCCCCAGGAGGAGCGCAAACCUUGAGGUUUGAAAAGGCUGGGACCCCCGGCCGGAAGUAACGUACGCGUCAGAGGAACAGGGCGGGGGGCGUCUAGCAUUAGGCCUGGAGAAGGGUCGGCUCUCUGCAUUGGGGAAGAUGAAAUCGACUUGCCUUUGUGAAAUUGACCAGCCCCCUCUAUAAAACUUACAGUCCCCCAUUGGGAAACUGACCACCACCCACAACUCCGCCAGUGAAACUGCCCAGCCCUUCUCUGCCUAAUUGCAAACUGAACUACCCUC
rnacentral:lncRNA from 1 species